CCGGCUCACCAGAUCAACAGUCGAUUGGUAUUUUUAACACUCAAUUUUAUUUCCUAACUAUACUAUUCAUAUUGGCGAUGGGUCUUCUCAGCCGAGUUACAAAUUGUUUGGUGGUGAUUCUAUUUUGUUCAACUGGAAUUCUCAAAGUCACCGAUAGAAUACACGGUCCAACGCAUAAUUUUAUGAGGAAAGAGUUUACCCGCUUUGUAAAAGUUCAUCCUUUUGCUGUAUACUUUGACUAUCAUAUGGAACCAGUUUAUUAUAUGAAGGUGUUUGGAUGUAUCCAGGUUCUUAGCAGUCUUUUCUUGCUGUUAGGUCCCAGGCCUCUCAAAGUGUUAAGUUCCCUUGCUUGUAUGGUGCUCGUGUUUUUUGAAGUUUUCUCGAUGUACAUGCUCRACGAGWCRUGGCUUAUGUUGUCCCUUCCAAUUGCAUCAUUUGUUCUUCUCUUUGUCAACCUUUUGCUGAUUCAAGAAGAAGAAAGGCCAAAAGUGGAUUAAGUGGUGUUUUUUAUGGGUAUAAUUUUUUUACAAGUAUUAAACAAAUAACCACAGCCUCUAUCACUAUAUUGGUUCAAAUGGAUAAUAGAGCGCAUUGCAAUGCGAAGGGGGAGGGGAGGGUUGUGUAAAAAAAACACCACAACAUGCAAUCCAACCCAGGUCUGACUUAUACGUACACCACCUAUUCAAUGCACACAAGUCAUUUACCUUUGUAAAAGUUACUGUAAAAAAUGCACUUUUAAAAAUCUAUGUUUAUAGCUGGUAUUUGAAAAGUUGGCUAAUAUUUAGCUCUCUUCAUUUGAUUGUGCUAGUAUAAAUGUAUAUAUUUUGAUAAUCACUGAAAUAGAAUUGUCA